UUUACCAACACCGCACGAAUUUCUUCCUCCCGAGACCUUUCCUUGCGGUUUCUCUCCGGCGAUUUCUCCUCUCCGCCUCUCGAUGUCGCCGGCGCCAUUUGAACCACCGCCGACCAAGCCUCCCUCUUCUCUCUCUCUCCCGAGGCAUGGAGUCUUCCUUCCUCUCUUCCUUUCCCUUUCUCUCUCGCGCGUGGACAACCCGACACUGACGAAGAGCGCUCUCCACCCGCGAUCUCGUCUUCGUCGUGACGCCGGAGGGAAAGCUUCGCUGGAUCUCGACGGUACCAGCCAUCUCCUUCUGGGUUGUCGACUCUUCGGUCGUUCUUGCUCGCGGUCGGCAGUGGGUCGGCGUCUAGGACACGGUGGAGUUGAUUCAUGUCGUUCCCGGCCGAUCGAUUCCUUUCGGUUCUCCUCCACGAUUUGUUCACAGAAGAGGGGUACAGAUCAUCGCCCAUUGGAGGGGAUCACGCGACACCAACUGGAGGCGAUCGGUUGAGAGGAAAGCUUCGGAAUCAACCUAGUGAUGGACCUCCCCUGAGCAGAUCUUCAACUUCUUCAAUUAUUGGGACUGUUAAGGUUCCGGUGUAGAGGUGGAGGCCUGUUCAAGGGCUUUUUGGUAGCUGCCGGCAGAGGUCUUGUUGGGCUGUGAGAUUUGGAUUUUGCUACCAAACCUUAAGAGACCUCAUUUGCUUUCAGCCACCACGUCACCGAUAGCUAGAUGCUAGCUCCAUCAGAUUUAUGUCAUCAGUAGCUACUGAAGAAGAAGAGGUAAGGGGAAUGUGGAGGACUUUGAUAUGGGAGGUUCAUUUCGAUAUGGGCGGUUCUAUUGAUACGAGAUAUAUCAAGGCGGGUAUUUCUUCCUUGGCUCUAUGUAGAUUUUUAUUGAGCUUAGUGCAUGGUUAUUAUGUGAUGGUUUAGACUGCUUUACCUUAUAUCGUGUUCGUUUGUAGUUUUCCUGCUUGAUACCGAUGCUUGACCCUUGAGAUGAUCUAUUUAAUUCUUAUACAGUGUACACUAUGGUUACCUAUACUCUGUGAUAUUUCUACAUGUAGAGUAUGCAUGGUAGGGGAUACUUUGUUGGUGGUAUUCAUAUGAGGUUUAUCCAUUGGUAUGUCGUGUAUACUUUCGUCUGGUGAGAUGAUUGGAGGAGUUGUGUGGAUUGUAUAUUUGUUGUAUAUACACGUGUCUGAUGUGUUUACUGGAGGAUACACGUUGAUUGUACUGAUGUUCUGUGUACCUGUGUCUAGAGGGAUUAUUGGAGAUUUUUGGAUGAUUAUACAUGUGUAGUGGCGUACAUGUGUUAGGUGGGAUAUGUGGAUAUAUCAUUACGAUUACAUUCAUGUUGUGUGGUACUUAUGUGGAUUUGGGGGUUGCAUGGAUGAUGACGUUGC